rnacentral:lncRNA from 1 species
AUCAAGCCCUGAUCGGGGGCGCUCAACCACCCAUUGGAGUGGUGGGCCCCUGGCGCACUGCACUAUAAGUAUAGGAGUGGGGGCUGCAAGCACAAUAGAUGGAAGGUUCGCCAUUGUACACCUCUGCCCCACUCGACUCUAACCCUAGUGCCAUCCGAUCGGCCAGUGCAGCAGCGUCGGGAAGCGCCACCACUGCCUCAACACCGACGCCAUGGACGCCUCGACGGUUUAAUCCUAAUCCCCUAAACCUCUCUGUUUCUCUCUAUGUGUAGUAGUUCUAGUGUGUACAAGUGUAGUUCUACUGCCUAUGUUUAUUUGCUGUAUUUGUUGUACUCGAAUCCCGAUCUAUUCUACUGCUAGAUGAUCCUAAACCUCUAUCAAUGGUACCAGAGCCAAUCUAGCAUGUAGAUUGAAUUUGGGAUUCACCCGCGAGACAAGCACGAGAAAAGCAAAAGAAAAGGGGAAUUAUUACCAAAUCCCUAACCCUAGCACAGAACCAGUGGCCCAAACCCUAAAGAUCCAGAUCGGGGAGGGGAAUAGAAAACCCUAACCCUAAAGCAAAGGGAAAGGGCGACCCUACCUGGGGCCCGUCCAUCCCGGCCUCGCCACAGGCCGUCACCAUGGCCGGCGGGGCGGACAGCCGAGCCAAAUCGCGAAGAGCACAUAGCCAGUGCGGGGGGCGCGCGUAGUACAAGGCACCGUCGUCAAGCGACACGACGGCGGCGCGCUCAGCCAUGGGCGAGCGCGCGCGCCGGCGAGGAGCUUCACGGCGGCACCGUCUCCUUUUCUUCAUCCGACGAGCCAUUUUGGCCGGUCAUGUUGACCAACCAGAAAAGCAAAGAGGGAGGAGAGGGAGAUAGAGCAGAACGCCGCGAGGAACGGUGGAGACAUCCGCCGCAGCCUCGACGGCGAGCCGCCGACCGGCAGCUCGGCGAGUUUCGCCACCGCCGCCGCCGUCAGAGAGAAGAGAGAGAGCGUAGAGAGAGAAGCAAAGAAAUGAGGGCUAGGGUUUCAGGGGCUGGCCGGCUUGGGGGCUGUUUUGUUCACGCGAGAUUGAAGGACGGCCGUCGGAUGCAAUCCAACGGCCGAGAUCGGCCAGGAUCGCACUGGGCCACUUUUGGCCCAGGCGGGAUGGGGGUUUCCCGGCCCAGGCCCAGGUUGCGGCCUGGGCGCGGGGGGCGCCUGCGCGCGGCUCGACCAUGGGCCGUUUUGGUUUCAUGGGCCGAAAAUCACAGAGCCAAGCAAGAAGAAAAAAAAGCCCUGCGCUGCUGGGCCAGCGCCCGAGCUGGACCGCAAGAGGUCUGGGCCAAAUGUUUGGCCACGGCCCGUUUAAGCACAGUAACUCCUUUUUUUUAUAUAUAUUCUAUUUAAUUUUCAGAAGCAUUUAAAUAUUUGUUUUGCUCCGUUUUGAAUUCUAUUUAAUUUGCACCAACGUGUAUAUUAAUUAGAAAGCACAGUCAGCAAGUUAUGCUUCUGGAAAUAGCAAGUAAAUUAAUGUUUUUCCGCUGCGCAAGUUAUAGUUUUAAUUCUCAUAUUAAAUUGAACCAACGGGAUAUUUAAUUUGAGAAGCCGAGUUUUCAAGCGCAGAAUUCUUUGUAAUAUUGUUAAUUUUUGACCAACGUCAAUAAUAACAAUAUUGCAAAUUCCAAGUUACAGCAAGUUACGAUUCUAGCAAGUUAAUUUACGUUAAGUUAAUUUACGUUUUCCGCUGCGCAAGACAUUUUAGUUCUCUUAUUAAAUUGAACCAACGGGAUAUUUAAUUCGAGAAGCAAGGUUUGAAGCCCAGAAAUCUUUUUUGUAAUAUUGUUAUUUUUUGACCAACGUUAAAAAUAGCAAUAUUGCAAAUGCCAAGUUCCAAUUUUAAGCAUUUAUUCUAUUUUGCCCAACGGUGAUUAGAUUUCAUGCAGCGAGUUAAUUUUUGUAUAUCUUAAUUUUGACCAACGUUAAAUUAAGAUAUUCAAUUAUUCUACCAAGUUUUAAAUGUUGGUGUUCUCACCAUCUUCUCAUUAUUAUUUCAGAGCAAGUGAUGCACUUCAUUAGUGCAAUCCCCAAGCAAGAGAAUACCUCGAGAAAGUGCAGAAUCAGUUCAAUGCCUAGACAAA